rfam:Camelus ferus unplaced genomic scaffold scaffold839, whole genome shotgun sequence.
GAGGGUGUAGCUCAGUGGUAGAGUGUGUGCUUAAUAUGCACAAGGUUCUAGGUUCAGUUCCCAGUACCUUCA